rnacentral:rRNA from 1 species
UGGGGAAUCUUGCACAAUGGGGGCAACCCUGAUGCAGCGACGCCGCGUGAGCGAUGAAGCCCUUCGGGGUGUAAAGCUCUUUCGGCAGGGAAGAUGGUGACGGUACCUGCAGAAGCAGCUGCGGCUAACUACGUGCCAGCAGCCGCGGUAAUACGUAGGCAGCGAGCGUUGUUCGGAGUUACUGGGCGUAAAGGGUGUGUAGGCGGCCUAUUAAGUUUGGUGUGAAAUCUCCCGGCUCAACCGGGAGGGUGCGCCGAAAACUGGGAGGCUAGAGUGCGGGAUGGGAGAGUGGAAUUCCUGGUGUAGCGGUGAAAUGCGUAGAUAUCAGGAGGAACACCGGUGGUGCAGACGGCUCUCUGGACCGUAACUGACGCUGAGACACGAAAGCGUGGGUAGCAAACAG